rnacentral:rRNA from 1 species
AUGUCUGAAAGCGGCGCCGGCUGCCUCCAUGUCGGCGGGUCGGCGUGCGGCGCGGGACGCCUCCUCGAGCCCGGCGUCUCCUGUUGCAGGUUCAAGGCGGGGCACAUCCUCGAGCCAUGCACCUCCUUCUGCGGACUCAAGGUGGUGCCCCGAUGCGGACUGCAGCCGGUCGGAGGAAUGGCAUCUCGUUCGGCCAACAUAUUGGUGGCGUCAGCGGCGCUCCGACCUCCAGCUUCCGAGCCGCCGACCCGCGUCUUCAUUUUCUGCCCCUGGGCAGAGAGCAUUCGUCAAGUUCAUAGAAUGCCGUCAGAUUGGCCAUCGCGCUCGGAACUGCACCAACCCCCUGAAGACGCCACCACCGCCUCCACCUCAGACGCUUCGCCUGCGGCCACCGUACAACGGUUGCCUAGUUCUUCUGCAGCAUGCCUGCACCCCGCUGGACCAAUCACCCGCUCGCAUCCUGUCGACGGAGAGCCCCGCCAUCGAGAAAGACAUGUGCCGGCGCCGGGUCGCCACGAUGACGACGACGAUAAUGAGUGUGGUGCGGUUAGCCCUGCUUCGGGCCGAAGGGCAAGGAACAGAGCGCACGACCGCUCGCCUGACGCGUCGUCCCGAGACUCUGUUGCCGCUGCCACCCUGGAUUCUCGCGGACGCUCACCUCCGCCAUCGCCGCGCACCACCUCUCGAGACAUCUCGAGAUCAAGACUACCAGCUCUGCCAUGGUCUCGCCUCCGCCAUUGCCGCGCACCACCGCUCAGGACAUUAUCGAGAUCGAGACUACCAGCUCUGCCAUGGGCUGGCUCUGUGGAACCACCGCCGGUCUAG